AUGUCCUCCUCCCCCUCAAGCUACUCUCCGGCCGGCCUCAACAACCAGAUCACAAAGAAGCUGACCCGCACAAAUUAUGUGCUCUGGCAUACACAAAUUACACCACAACUCCGAGGCGCGGGAGUCUUUGGCUAUGCCGAUGGCACCGUGAAGGAUCCCGCCCCGACUAUCACCACCAAGGCAACUGACGGGAAGGAGGAUUCGUCGCCCAACCCCCUGCAUCCGAUCUGGGUCAGGGAGGACUAGCAGGUGCUGGGAUAUCUGCUCUUCAAUUUGUUGAAGGAAGUUCUUGUGCAGGUCACCUCCAUCACUCACGCGCACGAUCUCUGGACAGCGCUGGCGCACAUGUUCUCCUCGACGUCAAUCUCUCGAUCAACAACAUCCACAUAG
rnacentral:rRNA from 1 species